rnacentral:lncRNA from 1 species
GCCUUUCUCAAGCCGCCAUUUUUGGGGUACUUUUUUGCCAAUCCUGCGAGCGUAACACGACGUAACGGCGACAUUUUAUAAUUUUAUGGGUGUAUGAUGGUAAAUUUACUCUGUAAAUAGUUAGUUUGUUCUGAAAUAUUGCUUUUCACAUUGUUAUAAUCGUUUACGAAAAAUUACAGUACCCCAAAAAUAGCGGUGUGAGAAAGGCUAAUUUA